rnacentral:lncRNA from 1 species
UGUGAUGUAUUUUAUAUAGCAACUAAUCCUCUCUGUAGCCUAAAAAGCUUAGAAUUGUCAUAAAUAAUACAACUAUAUAUAUGAUCAAACAGAAAUAAUCAAAAGCUUUAAAGAAAAAAAAAUAAAUCCUUAAUAACAAUAUUAUCUGUAGUUAAUUUCUACAUCUAUCUCUAUAUAUACGUAUUAACUUACGUACCUCUUCUACACAAAAUUGUCUAUAUCUUCCCAUAUAUUAUAUGUAUAUAUAUAUAUAGAUAUGUGUGUGUGUGUGUGUGUUCCAAAUUAAAGCUAUCGCUUGUUGUGUAGUGGAUUGGAUCCGGUUGGAACUCUUCGCUUCUCGGACUCGAAAACUCUGCAAGCAUCCGGACCAAUAUUUACAGCAUGAAAAACUUGUAAUUCCUCUCUGCUAGCUGCUGGGGUUGGAAAGUGCCCCGCCCCAGUCCUGCUCGAAGUACCACUAAGAAAGAGGAGAGAUAAAAUGAAUACGAAGAGAUGGAAGCGAUUCAUUUUUUAAUUAAGAAAAAUGAUCAGAAUUUGUUGUAGGAGGAUAUGAUUGUGCGUGG